rnacentral:lncRNA from 1 species
UGACCCAUUUUUCACCUUUCACAUUCGAGUCCGGCAACAAGUUUCUAAGUUGACGAAACAAACGUCCUACACCACCAACACAAGGUANUGUAUGAAGGUUGGGCCUACUUAAACGAAUGGUUAAUGUAUUAAUCAUUUAGAUAUUUUGUUAUCCAAUUACUUGACCCAUUUUUCACCUUUCACAUUCGAGUCCGGCAACAAGUUUCUAAGUUGACGAAACAAACGUCCUACACCACCAACACAAGGUAUUAUGCCUCUUUUGUUUCAAUUCCAGAUCCCAAACACACACAAUUAUUUGAUAUUCAUGUUCUAUGUUUAAGCUUCUUCAAACUGAAAUUACAGUAUACAGUGUGUUAGUACAAAUUAUAAAUGAAGAACGUUUACAGUCUUGAAAUUGAACUCAUUUAAAAAACCCUAUUUUUUUAUAUCUCCUUGACUGGAAAUCGGGCUGAGCCCUGCUAUGUGUGUGUGAGUGAUGGAGUCAGGGAGGCGGCAGCCGCGGAGGUCGUCGCCGGCGGCGGUGAAACUGCCGUUGCCUCCGAUCUGCCAGAAAUCAAAGGAACACGAGGGGAGGUUAUUAUGGUGUAUAUAUGUAUGUAUAUAUAUGUUUAUAGGAUUAAAAAGGAAAAAGAAGCAACUAGGGUUACCUGGCGAAAUCGGCCGCGGUGGCUCGUCGUCGUCGCCAGCGGUCACGUGGCGGCGGCGAUGUCGCCGUUGUCUCCGUUCAGGCCGAAUCGGAGAGAGAGGGAAGAAGUUAGAUGAUUUCAGUGGGACAGAGGGAGAAGGGGGCAGGCGGCGGUGGCGUCUGCCGCCUGUUUCCGGCAGAGACAGAGAGGGAUCGGGAGGGAUGAGCGAGAGAGAGACGUUGAGAGAGGGGAGGUGGAGGCAGCCGACGCCGCCGUUGAGCGGCGGCGGCAGAGAGCCGGCCGAGAGAGAAGGUGCGGCGCAUUGUGUGCGUGUGUGUGCUGAAUGAGUAUAGUGUGUGUUAUUAGGUUAAAGGGGGAGAUUGGGCUUGGGCCCCUUCUUUAAUUAAAAUGGGUUUGGGCCUUGGACUUUGUUAUGAGGAAGAAAUCUGAUGGGCUUAUUUAUUUAAUUGUUUGGGCCUUAUAUUUUAUUUGAUUGGGCUCUUAAUUGAAUUUGAUGGGCUUGAGUGAUUCAAUUUUAUGUUGGGUCUUUUAAUUUAUAUAUUAAAUUGAGCCCACUUCAUUAAACGAAAUGUAUGGACUUUUAAAUAAAAUAUUUAGGCUAGGCCCUUAAGAUAUGAUUAAAUAAAUUAUUUUCAAGGACUUAUUAAUAUGGAUUCUUUCAAAUGAAAUAGAUUGUUUUAUGAAUAAUUCCAUUAUAAUGGAAUUAAAAUGUCUUAUUAAAUGGCUUCAUUUUAUAUUAUUUAUAUACAUGACUAAGAAAAUGUAAUGUUGUUUCAUAAAUUGAAUGAGUAUAUAGUUUAUACUUUUGAUAAAUGAGCUUAGAAUUUAAUUCAAGAUAUUAAAUUACUAAGCAUGAGGUUUGUAAAUGAUUGAACGAGAUGAGAUUAAUGUGGAUGCUAGAACGCUAAAGUCAUUUACAUGGUAUCCUUUAGUUAACUAGAACCGACACUCCCUUCGUUCGUGAUUUCUUUCGAACUUAUCGACUCCUCAUCAAUUAAGGUCCAGGCACGAAGUAAAAGCUAAAGAUGGAGGUAACUCUACGCCCCUAGUGGGAACGGAAUGAUAUGCUUUCUUAAACACGUAUAUAGAGAUCCACUACAAAUUAUAGGCCUUUUAUACGACUAAAAUUAAUGACAUGAUAUAACUGUGUUAUUUCAAAUGAUGAAUGGUUCUUAUGAAAUGAAAUGUUUAUGUAAAUGAUGAAUGGUUCUUAUGAAAGAAAAUGAAAUGUUUAUGAAAGUAUUGUCUGCUAAAAUCGCCNNNNNNNNNNNNNNNNNNNNNNNNNNNNNNNNNNNNNNNNGUGGAAGGAGGCCCCUUCUCGGCGCGUGACAGGCAGAUAUGGAUCAUAUGAAGGAAAAUGGGCCGGCCGACCAAUCUUAUGAAAAUGAAAGAAAAUGUUUAGUAAGUACAUGCAUUUCAAGAAAAAUCUUGUGUGUUACUGUUGGCAGUACAAUGUAUAUGUAUAUGAUAUGAAUGAAUGUAUUUCGGCAUAUGUCUUAUGAGUAUUUUAUACUCACCAUUGCAUGUAUUUUUAAAUGUGCAGGUUGAGCUAGUGAUGGAAUAGAGUGGAGUUGAGCGGAUGUACCUUUUUGUCAUGAACAAGUAAUGUAUCUUGAGUACACAUCUUCAUAUGUAUAACAUUUCUUUUUUAUAUAUAGAUAUUAUCUAUAUAUGGGUUGGGUCAGAAUAGUCAUUGUCUCCAAAAUAAUAAUUACACCUAUUUUUAUAUACAAAAUAUAGUAUGAAGGUAAUUAAAUAUUAUGAGUUCAAAUCAUCUAAUAUAAGUCCAUCACUUUAGGG